GAUGCUGGUGUCCCGGCGGCGGGUACACGGAACUCCGUCUCUCCCGCGGACUGAACGAGAGCACGGUGCCCAUGGUGCUGGUUCGGUGCUCUUGUUGUUGUUGUUGUUGUUGUUGUUGUUGUUGUUGUUGUUGUUGUGGUGGCUUUUGCACCGAGUGUUGCUGUUGCAACGACGGUUGCUGCGUCUUCGUUCCCUGGUGCGUGGGAUUUUGGGACUGUCGAUUCGCGUUUUGAGCCGGUGGAGCAGGAUUCUGGGCCUGUUGGCCAGGAUUUAGCGACUGAUUGCUCGAAUUCUGGUUUUGUUGGCCAGGGUUUUGAGUCUGAUGUCCAGGAUUCUGCGCCUGAUGUCCGGGAUUUUGACGAUGACUCGGGUUUUGGGUUUGUUGGUGACCUGGGUUCGAGGUGUCCGAGUUCGUCUCGUGGGUCCGACGACCCGGAUUCUGUGUUUGCUGAGACGUAGUGGGCGGAGGUCUCGGUGGACUCGGGGUGGUAAUGGGCUGCGGGGGUGGCGGGAGUGCUCCAGGAACCGAGGAGUCUCUCGGGGGUCCCCUCGGGAUCGCACCCCCUGGUUCGAUGGGCACCUCCACGACGGGACCCACCACCUCACUCAGCCGACCUCCCAGCCUGCUGAUUUCUACCUUCGACCUAAACGACCCUGUCGCCUCCUCCUUUCCUUUCUUCUUCGGACCUUAUGGGCUGAUUCUGCUUUCCUUUCUACCUUUGCUUCUGUGACUUCAACCACUACCGAGCACCUUCUCCUCGACGGGAGACUCUCGCGCGUAAUACGGCUGAGCUUAGUCGCGAAUCGAUAGACAAGAACACCUUCACCAAACUAUACACGGUCCAGACGCGCACACUUCUCUAGAUCGAGAGACGCUUCUCCGAGUCGAGUCGCGAGGUGUUUCUUCCGCGAGGUGCCACUGACGGGGGAAAAUGUCGUCGAUGCGUUGAGAAGAUGUCGGUCGUUGUGCAAAAUGGCGAGCGAUCGAUGUCUCGCCGUCCUCCGCCUCUCGGAGGGAGGACGAACCAGGUGAAUGAAAAUACAGAACCGACCGUUCGGGCUACCUCAUCGGAUAUGUCCUCCCUCGUAGGUUUCGAGAGGCUACGGUGCACUCUUUUCUUAGCGAAUCCACCCUCUUCUCGCGAUCCCUCCGAAACAACCGUUGGGGCUGCACCAGCACAUUCGAUGCACUUCGGCGCGUACCGUUCCGAUCACUUCGUUGAUUUCUCGAUCUCUCCGCGGUCGGCACUGUGUCGGCCGAUGCAAUCGAUAAACAAAAACAAACCGUGAUGGUCGUUCCCGCGGUGUCACUCUCGGCGCAUAGAAAUUCGUCUUUCUUUGUUCAUUCUCGUAAACGAGCGAUGCACCAUUCGCGAUGUCGCGGGGAUACCUCUACGUUCACCCUCCGCGGGACGGGCAUGGGUCCACGGACGAAUGUGGUCGUCGAUGUGCACGCUUGCGACACACACGGGGGCUAUGUCGAGUUGUUGACAACGCGAGGGCUGUGCGGUUCGCCAAAAGAGAGAGUCGGAAACGGUUGCGACUCACGCGGCGGGCUCCGAUUCGUGUCUGCUGCUCCCGUCUUCGCCGACGUCGCCGUCGCCGUGUCCUCGUCCGCCUCGGCGUCGUCGUCGUCGUCGUCCUCGUCGUCGUCGUCGUGGUCGUCGUUGCUCGUUCGGUCCCUACGUUUGCGUUCGUCCACCGCCGCUUUCUCCGCGACCAACCAACACUUCGCACGCCCCAUCCCUGUUAUCGGUGCGCGCGCAGUCGUUCGAUAAACGCGCAACGUCGAUUUCACGGGGGUGGAAAAAGAGAGAAGGAGAAGCACGGAGAAGGGUGAAACGGGACGGCCGCAAAGGUGAAACGAAGAGAGGGUAGCCACGCCGCAUACGCCCAAACUUUUCUUUCGUUCUUGUCGCCUCGAACCGCCGCGACUGCCGGUCCUCGCUUCCUCCUUGAAAUUUAUGAUUCGACUACUCGCAUACACCCUCUCCCUGCGCUCUCUGCUCACCACCGUCCGUCCUUACGCGAAUGUUUGGCCGGAAGCGGCCGCAAGACCUGAACGUAGGUCGAGAUUUUACCGCGUGUAGAAGUGGGCCUCGAGUGGGGAAUCCCCGUUAUGGGGUUUUCAUCCGAACGGAGAAUUUUAUGAGAUUCAGACCUUCGCGACCUGGGUCGAGUCGAGGGUGAUUUCGCAACAAUUCAUAAACAGAACAAUCGGUUGAGACAGCCUUGUCUUCGCAUUUGUUUUUGGCUAGUGUCAUCGGAGUCGGAUCGAAGAUCAGCCUCGAGGUGUGGUAUCGACGCGCGCGACUACUUAUUUUCUAUCAAUUAUGACGCAAGUCUCGAGUCGUUCCAAAUUCUACACGAAAUCUAUUUGUCGUUGUGACUUAUAACGAUGCGCUGAAAGAGUAAUUGCAGCUUGUAACCGUUCGAAUCCGAUAGCAAGCGAUUCGAUUCCUUUAUCAACGUGCCUUGAAAAUAUUUCGCUGAGAAUUAAUUGAAUAUUAACCCUUUGGCAGUGCAACUUUUUCUCGGUUCAAGAUUACAGAUCCUACUCUUUUGUACGAUUUCUACUAUGUUAUAGGAAUUUAUUUUUUGUUAAACUUAUAACAUGUAUUUGGUAUUGUAAAAAAAUUACAUGAACCUUAAAAUAAAAUUGACCGAAAUACAUAUUUUUGUCUACAAUCAUGCAUCUUUGCUUAAAAUUGUCUGGUAUUUUUGCAUAUGUAUGAAACUUUUCUCUGGCACUUAAAGGGUGAAAAUGCAGUCGCGCCGAUCAUUUCUAGGACGCGGUAUUACAGUCAGUCAUCGAAGGUAUUAGCGCAGAAACGAAGUCGAAAAUGUCGACGCGGUAGAAUUACGCCACGCGGAACGGAGCGGGUCGCGUUGACCGGACGGCAACGAAGAAAGAACGAGAAAAAUCGAGGGGGCGGAAGCGCCUCAGAGAACGUUCAUCGAUCACAGAAGUGACCUUCCGUACGUUUACGAACAUCCAUAUUUCGGGUAUCCGAUGGCGCACUCCAUCGAUCACUCGGUUGGACCAUCGUCGAAGCAACUCAUGAUCGUUAGUUUCAUCG